rnacentral:snoRNA from 1 species
AAGACUCUACUUUCAGGGAUCAUUUCUUUAGUCUGGAACUAGAGGAUUGUGUUUCUACAGAGGUUGGUCUGGCUGUCCAUGAUGAUGAAUGAAGAUGUUUCCUUCAGAGCAGGAAGCUGGUGAGAAGAUGAGAAUCUUCUUCACUGAUGAAGACUGUUCAGUGUUUCUGGAUGUGACACUGAAGGAGGAACCAUUGUCUGAGUGGA